GCUGGCUAUAAUCGAACUGCUCGACUAUGGUGAGGAAAAAGUUACGGAACGAAGUCAUGCGAGAUACGCUAAAGGGGUGCACGAGGCGACACGGAGGAAGCGUUAGAAGAAACGAAAGCCACGAAAAGCCCGCUGAGCAGCUUUGGAAAAGACGAAAGACUGCAUUGGUUUGUUGCGGAAGCCACGAAAAUUACGAAGAGCCUCAAGUCGUCCAAGGGGGUGGCAACAGCCGAGGAUUAAAAGACUGUGUGUGUAGCAAGUUCGACAACACCGUUAUUCAGCUGAAGAACAGUUUGUCCUCAAUGGUGUCAAGAGAGCUCAAAUAAAUGUUCUGUG